AGGGUUUGAUCCUGGCUCAGAACGAACGCUGGCGGCAUGCUUCAGACAUGCAAGUCGAACGAGAUCUUCGGAUCUAGUGGCGCACGGGUGAGUAACGCGUGGGAACCUACCUUUUAGUUCGGGAUAACAGUUGGAAACGACUGCUAAUACCGUAUACGCCCUCCGGGGGAAAGGUCUGCCGCUGAAAGAGGGGCCCGCGUCUGAUUAGCUUGUUGGUAGGGUAAAAGCCUACCAAGGCUACGAUCAGUAGCUGGUCUGAGAGGAUGAUCAGCCACACUGGGACUGAGACACGGCCCAGACUCCUACGGGAGGCAGCAGUCGGGAAUAUUGGACAAUGGAGGAAACUCUGAUCCAGCAAUGCCGCGUGUGUGAUGAAGGCCCUAGGGUUGUAAAGCUCUUUCGUCGGGGAAGAAAAUGACUGUACCCGAAUAAGAAGGUCCGGCUAACUUCGUGCCAGCAGCCGCGGUAAUACGAAGGGACCUAGCGUAGUUCGGAAUUACUGGGCUUAAAGAGUUCGUAGGUUGUUAAAAAAGUUGGUGGUGAAAUCCCAGAGCUUAACUCUGGAACUGCCAUCAAAACUUUUUAGCUAGAGUAUGAUAGAGGAAAGCAGAAUUUCUAGUGUAGAGGUGAAAUUCGUAGAUAUUAGAAAGAAUACCAAUUGCGAAGGCAGCUUUCUGGAUCAUUACUGACACUGAGGAACGAAAGCAUGGGUAGCGAAGAGGAUUAGAUACCCUCGUAGUCCAUGCCGUAAACGAUGUGUGUUAGACGUUGGAAAUUUAUUUUCAGUGUCGCAGCGAAAGCGAUAAACACACCGCCUGGGGAGUACGACCGCAAGGUUAAAACUCAAAUGAAUUGACGGGGACCCGCACAAGUAGUGGAGCAUGUGGUUUAAUUCGAAGAUACGCGCAGAACCUUACCAACACUUGACAUGUUCGUCGCGACUUUAAGAGAUUAAAGUUUUCGGUUCGGCCGGACGAAACACAGGUGCUGCAUGGCUGUCGUCAGCUCGUGUCGUGAGAUGUUGGGUUAAGUCCCGCAACGAGCGCAACCCUCACUUUUAGUUGCCAUCAUUUAGUUGGGCACUCUGAAAGAACUGCCAGUGAUAAGCUGGAGGAAGGUGGGGAUGACGUCAAGUCCUCAUGGCCCUUACGUGUUGGGCUACACACGUGCUACAAUGGUAUCUACAACAGGAAGCAAGACGGCGACGUUAAGCAAAUCCUUAAAAGAUACCUCAGUUCGGAUUGCACUCUGCAACUCGAGUGCAUGAAGCUGGAAUUACUAGUAAUCGUGGAUCAGCGUGCCACGGUGAAUGCGUUCCCGGGUCUUGUACACACCGCCCGUCACACCAUGGGAGUUGGUUCUACCUUAAGGCAAGGUUUCAAACCCUUGACCACGGUAUAGUCAGCGACUGGGGUGAAGUCGUAACAAGGUAACCGUA
rnacentral:rRNA from 1 species